rnacentral:tRNA from 1 species
GGAGAGGUGGCCGAGUGGCCGAAGGCGCACGACUCGAAAUCGUGUAACGGUUAAUACCCGUUCGAGAGUUCGAAUCUCUCCCUCUCCGCCA